rnacentral:tRNA from 1 species
GCGUAGCUCAGCUGGAUAGAGCGUCUGACUACGGAUCAGAAGGCCGGGGGUUCGAAUCCUCUC